rnacentral:tRNA from 1 species
UCCCCGGUGGCUCAGAUGGUAAAGAAUCUGCCUGCAAUGCAGGAGACCUGGGUUUGAUCCCUGGGUGGGGAA